CCCGACUGCUAUCAGAGUGGGACUAAGCCAUGCGAGUCAACGCCGCAAGGCGUGGCAUACGGCUCAGUAACACGUAGUCAACAUGCCCAGGGGACGUGGAUAACCUCGGGAAACUGAGGAUAAACCGCGAUAGGCCAAGGCUUCUGGAAUGGGCCAUGGCUGAAAUCUAUACGGCCCCUGGAUUGGACUGCGGCCGAUCAGGCUGUUGGUGAGGUAAUGGCCCACCAAACCUGUAACCGGUACGGGCUUUGAGAGAAGGAGCCCGGAGAUGGGCACUGAGACAAGGGCCCAGGCCCUAUGGGGCGCAGCAGGCGCGAAACCUCUGCAAUAGGCGAAAGCCUGACAGGGUUACUCUGAGUGAUGUCCGCUAAGGGCAUCUUUUGGCACCUCUAAAAAUGGUGCAGAAUAAGGGGUGGGCAAGUCUGGUGUCAGCCGCCGCGGUAAUACCAGCACCCCGAGUGGUCGGGACGAUUAUUGGGCCUAAAGCAUCCGUAGCUUGUUCUGCAAGUCCUCCGUUAAAUCCACCUGCUCAACAGAUGGGCUGCGGAGGAUACUACAGGGCUAGGAGGCGGGAGAGGCAAACGGUACUCGAUGGGUAGGGGUAAAAUCCUCUGAUCCAUUGAAGACCACCAGUGGCGAAGGCGGUUUGCCAGAACGCGCUCGACGGUGAGGGAUGAAAGCUGGGGGAGCAAACCGGAUUAGAUACCCGGGUAGUCCCAGCUGUAAACGAUGCAGACUCGGUGAUGGGUUGGCUUUGUGCCAACCCAGUGCCGCAGGGAAGCCGUUAAGUCUGCCGCCUGGGGAGUACGGUCGCAAGACUGAAACUUAAAGGAAUUGGCGGGGGAGCACCACAAGGGGUGAAGCCUGCGGUUCAAUUGGAGUCAACGCCGGGAAUCUUACCGGGGGCGACAGCAGUGUGAAGGUCAAGCUGAAGACUUUACCAGACAAGCUGAGAGGAGGUGCAUGGCCGUCGCCAGCUCGUGCCGUGAGGUGUCCUGUUAAGUCAGGUAACGAGCAAGAUCCCUGCCUCUAGUUGCUACCACUGUUCUCCGGAAUAGAGGGGCUAAUUAGAGGGACCGCCGCCGCUGAGGCGGAGGAAGGAGGGGGCUACGGCAGGUC
rnacentral:rRNA from 1 species